rnacentral:rRNA from 1 species
AACGAACGCUAGCGGCGUGGAUUAGGCAUGCAAGUCGAACGAGAAAGCACCCUUCGGGGUGUUAGUAAAGUGGCGAACGGGUGAGUAACGCGUGGGAAACCUGCUUUCGGGUGGGGGAUAACAGCUCUAACGGGCUGCUAAUACCGCAUGAUGCCCUUGGACACAUGUUCGAGGGUUUAAAGGAGGCCUCUGUUUCAUGCUUCCGCCUGGAAAUGGUCCCGCGUCCUAUUAGCUUGUUGGUGAGGUAACGGCUCACCAAGGCGACGAUGGGUAGCCGGCUUGAGAGAGUGGUCGGCCACACUGGGACUGAGAUACGGCCCAGACUCCUACGGGAGGCAGCAGUCGAGAGGCUUCGGCAAUGGGGGAAACCCUGACCGAGCGACGUCGCGUGGGUGAUGAAGGUCUUUGGACCGUAAAACCCUGUCAGGUGGGAUGAAACACCAUUCGGCUAAUACCCGAGUGGCUCGACAGUACCACCAGAGGAAGCUCCGGCUAACUCCGUG